rnacentral:lncRNA from 1 species
GUGGCGGGCUCCAUUAAUCCAUAUAUCCGGUCACUUCGCCAUUCUUUUGAGGAACUUAUGGUGAUGAGGUGCAUGAACAGUGGCUGAUAAUAAUUAUGAUGAUGAUGGAGAGAGAUUCUCGCUAGCUAGCCCCAUUUUAUUCUCUAUCUUUUGAGAUUUUUGAUUGGGAGGUGGUGUUGGGAAAUAAUGGAGUGCUUGUGUGGAAUAAUGGAAUUCUGCUAUCUAUCCAGCCUAAAAGUAGAGUGGAGGAGCCUUUCUGCCAUCGUAGUUUUGGACGGGUCAUUGCCCAUGUUUGUUAGAGGGUGGAGGGGUCGGAGGGCCUCUCUC